GCACUGCUAGCUCAAUUGGAUAGAGCGCUCGACUUCGGAUCGAGAGGUUCAGGGUUCAAGUCCUUGGCGGUGCACCA
rnacentral:tRNA from 1 species